rnacentral:rRNA from 1 species
CACGUAGGGCGCAAGCGUUGUCCGGAAUUAUUGGGCGUAAAGAGCUCGUAGGCGGUCUGUUGCGUCCGCUGUGAAAACUCGGGGCUUAACCCCGAGCCUGCAGUGGAUACGGGCAGACUAGAGGUAGGUAGGGGAGAAUGGAAUUCCCGGUGUAGCGGUGAAAUGCGCAGAUAUCGGGAGGAACACCGGUGGCGAUGGCGGUUCUCUGGGCCUUACCUGACGCUGAGGAGCGAAAGCGUGGGGAGCGAACAGG